CAUUAUUACCGUGUACAUCUACAGUUCUUAUAAACUUUUCCUAACUUAAUGCUACUCAGCAUUGAAUCAUUUUUGCUAUACUACUUGCAUUUACUCAUAUUGUGCAUUCAUUUGCCACAAAUUUUCAACUUAAAAAAUGAUAUUUUCACACACGUGGCUGGAAGCCGGUUUCUGUACUGGAAGGGGAAUGGCUUCGGGUCAGAGAUGUCCUUGCUUGCCAGUUUGAAUGAUGGCAUUCCACUCAGAAUGAUGAACUUCUUUUAUGGCCCGAUGAGAUCGUCAUUUCCUUGCGAGACUCGAUAAGACGACAUCACUCGCAUAAAAUAUGGAAAUAAAGUUCGUUUUAUACAGCAAGGGUAAUCUCCAAUUGAAGGCACCCGUCUGUUGGGAAUUAUUCUGUGUCGAUAACACUUGAAGCGCAACGUCAACCAGAUAAUGUCAAAAUGGAAAGACAACUUCAAAUUUACAGCCAGAGAGAGUUGCUGUGUCUUGGUAUUUCUCGCUGCAUCACAUGAAAGACAAUUUAAGCUCUUGCUCGAUAUUUAGUCGACAUUCUGAAAUUACAUUUGAGGGCGAGAAGACUGCAAAAGGUCACAGAUCUGGAUAACUCUUACAAUGGACUGCCUAUAUUCAGAGGAAUCUUGUUAAGAAUGGCGACCUGGUUAAAUGAUGGAUUGUCUCCCAGUCAGUCCAGUCUGUAGUACAUUUCUUUAAAUAAAUAAUUA